ensembl:misc_RNA Metazoa_SRP Metazoan signal recognition particle RNA
GCCAGGCAUGGUGGUGCGUGCCUGUAGUCCCAGCUACUCAGGAGGCUGAGGUGGGAGGAUCACUUGAAUCCAGGAGGUUGGGGUUGCAGUGAGCCAACAUUGCACCACUGCACUCCACCCUGGGUGACAAAGUGAGACCCUGUCUCAA